rnacentral:sRNA from 1 species
CCGUUUUAACUACUUAUUAUGAAAUGUAAAUUUUGAUAGUGUUACUAUACUAACAUAGCCAAAAUCACGUUUUAACUACUUAUUAUGAAAUGUAAAUUUAUCCAUUCCGUCAUAUCCCCACGCAUCUGUUCCAGUUUUAACUACUUAUUAUGAAAUGUAAAUAGAGUUUCCAGCUGUAAGGCCAGAUAUUGAUAAUUUCGUUUUAACUACUUAUUAUGAAAUGUAAAUUAUGAAAUUAUCUGCGAAGAGGGAAAACUAGACGAUGUUUUAACUACUUAUUAUGAAAUGUAAAUAGCGGUUUUUCUUCUAUAGAAG